AGCAGCCGCGGUAAUUCCAGCUCCAAUAGCGUAUAUUAAAGUUGUUGCAGUUAAAAAAGCUCGUAGUUGAAUUUCGGGAUCAAUUUAUUGGUCGUGCUAUUGUACGUACUGGUAUUAUUGAUUUCUACCUUCUGACGAACCAUGAUGUCAUUAAUUUGGUGUCUUGGGGAAUCAGGACUGUUACUUUGAAAAAAUUAGAGUGUUUAAAGCAGGCUCACGCUUGAAUACAUUAGCAUGGAAUAACGAAAUAGGACGUUUGAUUCUAUUUUGUUGGUUUCUAGGAUCGACGUAAUGAUUAAUAGGGAUAGUUGGGGGCAUUAGUAUUCAAUUGUCAGAGGUGAAAUUCUUGGAUUUAUUGAAGACUAACUACUGCGAAAGCAUUUGCCAAGGAUGUUUUCAUUAAUCAAGAACGAAAGUUAGGGGAUCGAAGACGAUCAGAUACCGUCGUAGUCUUAACCAUAAACUAUGCCGACUAGGGAUCGGAUGAUGUUAAUUUUUUAAUGUACUCAUUCGGCGUCCG
rnacentral:rRNA from 1 species